UAGAGAGAGAGAGAGAGAUGUGUUUGGGGAGGAGAGAGAGAAAAAGAGAGGUUUUGAAAAAUAAAGAGAAGAGAGAAAAAUAAUUUUUUUUAUCUAAUUAAAGUAUAAAUUUAUAUAAAAAUUAUUAAUUUAUUUUUAAAAUUUAUAAAAAUAAGACUAGAUAAAAAAUAUUUUUAAAAAAGACUAAAUUGAAAAAAAAAAUAAAAUUCUAAGGAGGGUAGGCAAGGCAUUAGGUCCCAAAUGAAGUGAGUGGUGAUGGAAUGAUUUUCUUAUGUAGCUUUAUUGAAAAAAUCAUUUAUCAACCUAGCCUCGUUUUCGAAAUAUUUUUUAGUCUAGCCUCAUUUCAACUGAUUAAGAAAAAAAAAUUGUCAAAAAUUUGUUUUUAGUGUUAAUUAAGAGAGAUCUUUCCCUCUCUUUCCCUGCUACCUACUUUUCUCUCUCUCUCUCUCUCUCUCUCUCUCUCUUCCCCAACUACACCUCACUCUCUUUAUCUCUCAAAUAUUGCUAUUUUUUUUUGGGGAAAACUUCAAAAAACCUCCCGUGGUUUCGUAGUUUCUCACUUUGCACCCCUGUAGUUUAAAAUGUAUCGAUUUGCCCCCCUGUGGUUUCGUUUUUAUCUUUUCGGUAGCUUUUUCGUUAAUAUUUCAUUAAACUAUAUACAAAAAACUUCAGAUACCCAUCUAGAUUUAUCAAAUAUUCACUUUAAUACUCUUUAAUUUUAACUUUAUCACUGAUUUAAGAAAAAAAAUAAUGAAAUUGAUAAGAAAAAGGAAAAAAAGAAACCACAGGGGGGCAAAUUGAUACAUUUUAAACCACAGGGGGGCAAAGUGAGAAACUACGAAACCACAUGGGAGUUUUUUGAAGUUUUCCCUUUUUUUUUGAGAGAAAGAUAGCACGUUACCUACAUUAUUCAUAUAGAAAAUAAAUUCAGCUACAGAAGUUUUGGCAACUCGGUCUUGAAUAAGACGCAGGUCACCAUACUGAAAAAUAAAAAUAAAAAUAAUAUAAAAAUAAAUGAUAAAAAAGAAAACUUAGAAAAAUAAAAUAAGUAAAUAAAAUAAAAAAAAGUAAAAUUAGAAAAGAGUUCACUUAGAACUGCAAAACUAAGUCCACUCCCUUUCCAAGCCCGAACUCGUCUAACCAUGAUUAAGGGAUCUGAAGAUUGAUUUCUAAAAAUCAUGUUAUUUCUUUCCCGCCAGAUCAUCUACCAACAGAUUGCAAUCUUAGUCAGAUCUUUCGUUGAUGCCCUUUGUAAGCGAUUCUCCGAUAGAAACUCCUAGACACCCCUAGCCUCUAUCGUAGAUUCUGAGAUAUGUCUAUUGUUAAGUAAACUGAACAUCAGAAAUUUAUUGAGUAUGCAUCCUACAAAUAAAUGAUCUAUUGUCUCAACUUCACUGCCACACAAAACACACUGUAAAUUCUCAGACGAGUCCCUUUUAAGUAGAUUAUUAAUCAUUGGUAGGCGCUUUUUAAGAGCAAGUCAAAUAAAAAUUUUAACUUUAUAUAAAAUUUUUAUAUCCCAAAUUUUUA
rnacentral:lncRNA from 1 species